AUGAAUAUUACACAUAUAUCGAAAAGAAACAUCAUGGUUGCUGGGGUCAAAAUUUACAGUAAACAUAGUUUACAUAGAUGGAGGGAGCAUCCCACCCGUGGGCCACAGGUAAACCAGGUGAUCAGUUCAUAUUGCAUCAUGAAUGUCCAACACUUUGAUGCCAAGGCAGGCACACACACACCCACACACAGGAAGACACAAGAGUCCUCAGCGCUUCCCAGGUUUGCCUCUUCUCUUCCCUCCUCCCCCUCCUGCUGCUUUUCCUUUCCCACCUUUUCCUCUGGCCUUUCCACCCAUGCUGCUGCCUUUACGUCCCUUCUUCCCUGCUGCCUUCUUGUGUUUGGCAGCAGCCUCCUCUCUGUCCUCCUCCCUCAUCUGUUUAUUCACAGCUUUGGUGAUGUCCAACUUGGGCUUCUUAGUGUCCAUGACUUUCAGGAGCUCCAGCUGCUUCUGCUUUUCAUUAGAAAAGUUGCCAAUGAGGGGCUCGAAUUUCCUCUUCUUGCCCUUCUUUGCUGGGUUCUCCUUGGGCAGGCGGUCCUGAAACCUCCCCAAGGAUGCUGUGGAGGUUUUGGCCACACUUUCGGCUCUGGCCAGCUCAUCUUUGGACUGGCUGGCUUUGGGGGUCAGGGUUACAGCAGGGAUCUUGACUUUCUGCGAUCUGGCGAUGUUUUUCAGCCUGUUGAGCUCGUUUUUGGCCACCCUCUCCUUCUUGGCUUUGACGCGUUUGGCGAACUGGUCCUCAUUCGGGUCUGCGCUCUCGGGGACCUCGAUCAGCCACUCUUUGGUGUCAUCGCCGGCCCUCUUGUAGCCCCAGCGCCUCUUCCACUCCUUUGCGGUUUCAUCCCACACCAGGUGAGCCCGUCCAGCCACCUUCCUUGUCUGUUGUACACUCAGGAGAAUCAGGUUAGCCACCACUCAACCGCCUGCAGCUGCCACGCCACGCCACGCCACGCCACGCAACGCCACCAACUGCUCAACCGCUCCCACUCAACCGCCUGCAGCUUCCACGCCACGCCACGCCACGCCAUGCCACGCCACCAACUGCUCAACCGCUCAACCGCCUGCGACUGCCACGCCACGCCACGCCACCAACCGCUCAACCACUCAACCGCAUGCGGCUGCCACGCCACGCUGCCAACCGCUCAACCGCCUGCGGCUGCCACGUCACACUACACUGCCAACAGACUGUGGCUGCCACGCCAUGCCGUCAACCGCUUAACCACUUGCGGCUCCCGCGAAGCCAACCACUCAACUACCUGCGGAUGCCACACCACAUCACGCCACCAACUGACUGCAGCUGCCACGCCAUGCCACCAAUCGCUCAACCGGCUGCAGCUGCUGCGCCGCCAACUGCUCAAGCGCCUAUAGCUGCCACACUGCUCCACCAAACGCUCAACCGCCUACAGCUACCACGCCAUACCGCCAGCCGCUCAACUGCCUUGCGGCUGCCGCAACACACCACACCGCCAACCAGUCAACCGCCUGUGCCGCUUUGCUUCCUCUUUGUCUUAUGUGUCAGAUUAGGUUCAGCUGUGUCUCCCUUCUGUCACCUUCGUUACCCUCUGUCUUUAUUGUGUGUAUUUUCCUUUGUUCUUGUCGGAUCGUCUGCUCAUCAUCCACUGCUUCACUUCUCGUGUUUCCAAGUCCCGGGGUUUCUCCAGGUUUCUAUAUUGUGUUUUCUGUGUAUCUCAUGUGCUUAUGUUUUUCUCAGUUCCCCUUCGCUAGUUGUUUUGUAGUAUUUUCCUGCAGCCAAGAAUAAAGGCUCGCUGUCUGUUAAACAUCCACCUAUCUCGCUGUUUGUCUGCUUUUGGUCCACUCUCCUCUCCACGCAAUCUGCCCUCGCAAAUCGUGACUAAAGGUACCCACAAAACACCACACUCAAUAUCAGCCGUGAAGAGGCGACCUCAUAAUGCUGGCCUUCAAGACAGAGACGCAAAGCCAAUAAACGCUAAAUAUUAAAAUUUUUAAAAAUACAGACCUUGGAUAGAGGAAACUUUAACAGUGCUAACACAAAUGGAAAAGUUGUUAUUAUUCUUUUAACAUCAGGGAACACAAUAUGGCUGAGGAACACUUGAGUGAUGGCUCCUGAAAAUGGAUACUUGAUGAAAAAUCAAUAAGGAUGAAUAAUUCAAUGAAUCAUUAAUAGUCACUUGCAUAAUUUAUGAUCAAUUUAUUGUUAUUUUAAAUAAAUGCAAAUGUGUUGUUUGUUCAAAAACACAGAUCUGUGUACGUAAUGCCAAACCUUUGAAGGCAAUGUACUUACAAAACAAGCUAAAAUAAAAUAGAAAUACAUGAGAAAUAUUUAAAAUUUAAGCAUUUGUCAAUUUGGUUAAAUUGAUCAACAGAACGUGCAUGAUGAGCCGCUGAUCUCAAAAUUAUAUCAAAGUCGUAUCUUCCAUUUUCUAUUCUGAUUUUUUUAGACUGUGGGAUGAACCUCAAUAUUGUCAUAAUAAAACAAAAAUACUGUUAGAAUGGCCAUCCAUUCAUCCAUUAAUCUGUUCAUCCACUCCCACUUAUCCGAGUCUGGAUCAGGGUUGCGGAGAAGCAGAGAAGACCUCCCUCUCCCCAACCACCUCCUUCUAGUUCAUUCAGGGGGACACCAAGGCAGCCGAGAGAUGCAAACAAGGUUUCUUCUCAAUAGGGCAUCCCCAAAACACCUCACCCAAGAGGUGUCCAGGAGACAUCCCAGUCCAAAACAACUCAGCUGGCUCCUUUGGAUGCGAAGGAUUAAUGGCUGUUUCUGCUGAAUGACUGAGCUCUGCAUCCCAUCUUUAGGGGAGAGUCCAGACACCCUCUGAAGGAAGCUUUUUUCUGCUGAUUGUGUCUUGUGGGCAUAAGUGAGGGUAUGAAUAUAGAUCAACCACUAAACUGACAGUUUUACUUUCAUGUUCACCGGUUCAGCAUCCACAUCGUUGCAGCUCUCCCCUCACUCAUGAACAAGAUCUCAUGAUACUAAACCGCUCCACUUGUUCCUUACCCAGAGUGGGUACUCCACUCUUUUUCCGCCCUCAGACUUGGAGGUACUAAUUUUCAUCCCAACAGCUUCGCACUCGGCUGCAAACCGCCCCAGUAUGAGCUGGACGUCAUGGCUCAAUCAAGCCAGCUGCAGCACAUCAGAGACAAAAAGCGAAGGCGAGAUCCUGAGACCAACUGACGCCCUCCACCCCCUUUGCGUCCCCAAAAUGUAAGAAUACAGAAUAAAACCAUGUUGCCCACAGGUGGCAUUUGAUUUUAGCACCUGCAUCUGAUCUUUAAUCUCCAUUAACCCUUCAUAGACUAUGUCUGUGUAGAAACCUGGAUGAGAGGGGAAACGUCUUCAAGAAACCUUAAGAAGUCCAGGCACUGUAUUUCCAAGCUCCUUAAAUUGAAAACACAACUUCUCAAUAAACUCUGUUACCAUAAAAUCAGGAAGAAGAUAAAUAAGGAAAAACUAAACAAAAAAGAAUAACUGAUAAAUAAAUAUUUUUUUCCUGGUCUACAAUUAGAGGUUAUAUACUCA
rnacentral:lncRNA from 1 species